rnacentral:misc_RNA from 1 species
AAAGUCGUAACAAGGUAACCGUAGGUGAACCUGCGGUUGGAUCAUUAAAAAAGUGGGGAUGUUUGCAUCCCUUUUAGGGCGAAAGCCCUAUAAACCUUGUGCAAUUUGGCAGGACUCUGGGCCUGCCCAAGUAUAAACAACCACUUUUAAAGUCUGAAUGAGAAACACCAAUGAGAAACAACUUUUGACAACGGAUCUCUUGGCUCUC